GACGAACGCUGGCGGCGUGCUUAACACAUGCAAGUCGAACGGAAAGGCCCUGCUUUUGUGGGGUGCUCGAGUGGCGAACGGGUGAGUAACACGUGAGUAACCUGCCCUUGACUUUGGGAUAACUUCAGGAAACUGGGGCUAAUACCGGAUAGGAGCUCCUGCUGCAUGGUGGGGGUUGGAAAGUUUCGGCGGUUGGGGAUGGACUCGCGGCUUAUCAGCUUGUUGGUGGGGUAGUGGCUUACCAAGGGUUUGACGGGUAGCCGGCCUGAGAGGGUGACCGGCGACAUUGGGACUGAGAGACGGACCAGAAUCCUACGGGAGGCAGCAGUGGGGAAUAUUGCACAAUGGGCGGAAGCCUGAUGCAGCAACGCCGCGUGCGGGAUGACGGCCUUCGAGUGGUAAACCGAUUUCGACGGUGACGAAGCGUGAGUGACGGUAAUGGGUAAAGAAGCACCGGCUAACUACGUG
rnacentral:rRNA from 1 species